rnacentral:rRNA from 1 species
GACGAGGGACCUAGCGUUGUUCGGAAUCAUUGGGCGUAAAGCGGGUGUAGGCGGAUUUAUAAGUCAGGUGUGAAAUCCCAGGGCUCAACUCUGGAAGUGCACUUGAUACUGUAAAUCUUGAAUGUGGUAGAGGUUACUGGAAUUCCUGGUGUAGUGGUGAAAUACGUAGAUAUCAGGAGGAAUACCGGAGGCGAAGGCGGGUAACUGGGCCAACUUGACGCUGAGGAGCGAAAGCGUGGGGAGCGAACAGG